rnacentral:misc_RNA from 1 species
UGGCUCUCGCAUCGAUGAAGAACGCAGCGAAAUGCGAUAAGUAAUGUGAAUUGCAGAAUUCAGUGAAUCAUCGAAUCUUUGAACGCACCUUGCGCUCCUUGGUAUUCCGAGGAGCAUGCCUGUUUGAGUGUCAUUAAAUCAUCAAUCUGCAACUUUGCUGUUGUUGUAUUGGACUUGGGGACUUGCUGGUUCUAUUCAGGAUUGGCUUCCCUUAAAUGCAUUAGCUGGAGUAAUACAAGCAGCGUAUAUGCGGUGUGAUAAUAUCUUCACUGUGUUGCUCUUGUUGAGUCUGGCUUCUAACAGUCCUUCAGUUGGACAACUUUGACAAUCUGACCUCAAAUCAGGUAGGACUACCCGCUGA